rnacentral:rRNA from 1 species
ACGAACGCUGGCGGCGUGCUUAACACAUGCAAGUCGCACGGAAAGGCCCUGCUUUUGUGGGGUGCUCGAGUGGCGAACGGGUGAGUAACACGUGAGUAACCUGCCCUUGACUUUGGGAUAACUUCAGGAAACUGGGGCUAAUACCGGAUAGGAGCUCCUGCUGCAUGGUGGGGGUUGGAAAGUUUCGGCGGUUGGGGAUGGACUCGCGGCUUAUCAGCUUGUUGGUGGGGCAGUGGCUUACCAAGGCUUUGACGGGUAGCCGGCCUGAGAGGGUGACCGGCCACAUUGGGACUGAGAUACGGCCCAGACUCCUACGGGAGGCAGCAGUGGGGAAUAUUGCACAAUGGGCGGAAGCCUGAUGCAGCAACGCCGCGUGCGGGAUGACGGCCUUCGGGUUGUAAACCGCUUUCGCCUGUGACGAAGCGUGAGUGACGGUAAUGGGUAAAGAAGCACCGGCUAACUACGUG